rnacentral:tRNA from 1 species
AGCUCAGUUGGUAGAGCAUCUGACUUUUAAUCAGAGGGUCAGAGGUUCGAAUCCUCUAUG